GCUGGGUGGAUUAGUGGCGAACGGGUGAGUAACACGUGAGUAACCUGCCCUUGACUCUGGGAUAAGCGUUGGAAACGACGUCUAAUACCGGAUACGAGCUUCCACCGCAUGGUGAGUUGCUGGAAAGAAUUUUGGUCAAGGAUGGACUCGCGGCCUAUCAGCUUGUUGGUGAGGUAAUGGCUCACCAAGGCGACGACGGGUAGCCGGCCUGAGAGGGUGACCGGCCACACUGGGACUGAGACACGGCCCAGACUCCUACGGGAGGCAGCAGUGGGGAAUAUUGCACAAUGGGCGAAAGCCUGAUGCAGCAACGCCGCGUGAGGGACGACGGCCUUCGGGUUGUAAACCUCUUUUAGCAGGGAAGAAGCGAAAGUGACGGUACCUGCAGAAAAAGCACCGGCUAACUACGUGCCAGCAGCCGCGGUAAUACGUAGGGUGCAAGCGUUGUCCGGAAUUAUUGGGCGUAAAGAGCUCGUAGGCGGUUUGUCGCGUCUGCUGUGAAAUCCCGAGGCUCAACCUCGGGUCUGCAGUGGGUACGGGCAGACUAGAGUGCGGUAGGGGAGAUUGGAAUUCCUGGUGUAGCGGUGGAAUGCGCAGAUAUCAGGAGGAACACCGAUGGCGAAGGCAGAUCUCUGGGCCGCUACUGACGCUGAGGAGCGAAAGGGUGGGGAGCAAACAGGCUUAGAUACCCUGGUAGUCCACCCCGUAAACGUUGGGCGCUAGAUGUGGGGACCAUUCCACGGUUUCCGUGUCGUAGCUAACGCAUUAAGCGCCCCGCCUGGGGAGUACGGCCGCAAGGCUAAAACUCAAAGGAAUUGACGGGGGCCCGCACAAGCGGCGGAGCAUGCGGAUUAAUUCGAUGCAACGCGAAGAACCUUACCAAGGCUUGACAUAUACGAGAACGGGCCAGAAAUGGUCAACUCUUUGGACACUCGUAAACAGGUGGUGCAUGGUUGUCGUCAGCUCGUGUCGUGAGAUGUUGGGUUAAGUCCCGCAACGAGCGCAACCCUCGUUCUAUGUUGCCAGCACGUAAUGGUGGGAACUCAUGGGAUACUGCCGGGGUCAACUCGGAGGAAGGUGGGGACGACGUCAAAUCAUCAUGCCCCUUAUGUCUUGGGCUUCACGCAUGCUACAAUGGCCAGUACAAAGGGCUGCAAUACCGUAAGGUGGAGCGAAUCCCAAAAAGCUGGUCCCAGUUCGGAUUGAGGUCUGCAACUCGACCUCAUGAAGUCGGAGUCGCUAGUAAUCGCAGAUCAGCAACGCUGCGGUGAAUACGUUCCCGGGCCUUGUACACACC
rnacentral:rRNA from 1 species